CGCGUAGGCGGUCUUGUCGGUCAGAUGUGAAAGCCCAGGGCUCAACCCUGGACGUGCAUUUGAAACAGCAAGACUUGAGUACGGGAGAGGAAAGCGGAAUUCCUGGUGUAGAGGUGAAAUUCGUAGAUAUCAGGAGGAACACCGAUGGCGAAGGCAGCUUUCUGGAUCGAUACUGACGCUGAGGCGCGAAGGCGUGGGUAGCGAACAGGAUUAGAUACCCUGGUAGUCC
rnacentral:rRNA from 1 species